CCUACGGGAGGCUGCAGUGAGGAAUAUUGGUCAAUGGUCGGGAGACUGAACCAGCCAAGCCGCGUGAGGGAGGAAGGUACAGAGUAUCGUAAACCUCUUUUGUCAGGGAACAAAGACUGGGACGCGUCCCCGGAUGAGUGUACCUGAAGAAAAAGCAUCGGCGAACUCCGUGCCAGCAGCCGCGGUAAUACGGAGGAUGCGAGCGUGAUCCGGAUUUAUUGGGUUUAAAGGGGGCGCAGCGCGUGUGAUAAGUCAGCGGUCAAAGCCCGGGGCUCAACCCCGGCCCGCCGUUGAAACUGGCAGUCGCGAGUGGGAGAGAGGUAUGCGGAAUGCGCGGUGUAGCGGUGAAAUGCAUAGAUAUCGCGCAGAACUCCGAUUGCGAAGGCAGCAUGCCGGCUCCACACUGACGCUGAGGCACGAAAGCGUGGGUAUCGAACAGGAUUAGAUACCCUGGUAGUC
rnacentral:rRNA from 1 species